UGCAGCAGUUAGAAUUCAUGCCCAAUUACAACCGAUUGAUCCCUGGUGGUCGCACCAUAUUUAGUAUAUUUGACAACGGCUACUGUGCGGCGGCAGCAAAGCGGUUAGCCUGCUGGAUCUCCAUACAAAAAUGUGACAAGGAUGGAGACAACAGGCUUCGAGUUUGCCACUCAGCAUGUAGAUCAUAUAAUGCAGCAUGCGGAGCAUGCCUUGACUGUUCAGACCAAACUCUUUUUAGUAGUGAGGAGGAAGGGGAGGAGCAAUGCACCGGCUUUGGCGAGAUGAGACCAUGGUGGCUUCGCCGAUUCCGGGGUUUCUACUCCUAGGAACAAUAGCUUUUGUAGGAAAUAUCUGUAAUGUAUAGGUCCCUGUAAUUUUUUUAUCUUUUUUGGUAGAGUAUUAAUUGUAGGAAAUGUGUCUUCUUCCACCCUAUCUAGAAAAUCCUUAAACAAGGAUUGGGUGGUGUGUCAGUAAGCUGGGCUUUCAAAGAUGUUAGUCCAAGUUGUCAAAGUUGAAAAAAAAUCCAAGUAA